GUGCACGCUGGCGGUAGGCCUAACCCAUGCAAGUCGAACGGCAGCACAGGAGAGCUUGCUCUCUGGGUGGCGAGUGGCGGACGGGUGAGGAAUACAUCGGAAUCUGCCCAGUCGUGGGGGAUAACGUAGGGAAACUUACGCUAAUACCGCAUACGACCUUCGGGUGAAAGAGGGGGAUCGCAAGACCUCUCGCGAUUGGAUGAGCCGAUGUCGGAUUAGCUAGUUGGCGGGGUAAUGGCCCACCAAGGCGACGAUCCGUAGCUGGUCUGAGAGGAUGAUCAGCCACACUGGAACUGAGACACGGUCCAGACUCCUACGGGAGGCAGCAGUGGGGAAUAUUGGACAAUGGGCGCAAGCCUGAUCCAGCCAUACCGCGUGGGUGAAGAAGGCCUUCGGGUUGUAAAGCCCUUUUGUUGGGAAAGAAAUCUUUCAGGCUAAUACCCUGGGAGGAUGACGGUACCCAAAGAAUAAGCACCGGCUAACUUCGUG
rnacentral:rRNA from 1 species